GACGAACGCUGGCGGCGUGCUUAACACAUGCAAGUCGAACGGAAAGGCCCUGCUUUUGUGGGGUGCUCGAGUGGCGAACGGGUGAGUAACACGUGAGUAACCUGCCCUUGACUUUGGGAUAACUUCAGGAAACUGGGGCUAAUACCGGAUAGGAGCUCCUGCUGCAUGGUGGGGGUUGGAAAGUUUCGGCGGUUGGGGAUGGACUCGCGGCUUAUCGGCUUGUUGGUGGGGGAGUGGCUCACCAAGGCUUUGACGGGUAGCCGGCCUGAGAGGGUGACCGGCCACAUUGGGACUGGGAUACGGCCCAGACUCCUACGGGAGGCAGCAGUGGGGAUUAUUGCACAAUGGGCGGAAGCCUGAUGCAGCACCGCCGCGUGCGGGAUGACGGCCUUCGGGUUGUAACCCGUUUUCGCCUGUGACAAGGCGUGAGUGACGGUAAUGGGUAAAGAAGCACCGGCUAACUACGUG
rnacentral:rRNA from 1 species